GCUCAGCAACUACUCUUGGAGGAAGGAGCCAUGAUUUCCCCUGUUGCAAGAGUCAAAGCUAAACAAAACGAUUUAAUUUCGUAAGUAACUUGUUGUUCUUGCACAUAACCGGGUUACUGUAGUUCCUCACACUGAUGAUGAAAUUAAGUUUGUAAAUGUCUGGUCUCGAUAUAUUUAGAAACGUAAUCAUAUCUAUGCAAACUCAUCGAAGCAGAAGCGAGUAUCCAAACAUCAGUGUCCUUGCUAGGUCUAGGCUACACAAAGUUGCGAUAUUAAACACGUAUUUUCAUCCGUUUUGGCUGCUGCAUCGGGAUUACAAAUACAUUUGAGUACAGAGUAGUAGGCUAUCUGCCUACUAGUUUUUUUUCUUCUAAUAGCAGCUAUCAUUAAAUGAGGAAAGAACUGUAGAACAGGGAAGUUUCCUUUGAGCUCUUUAGACUGUGCAAGAUUGCUGUAACCCUUCCUGUAAGCUCAGCCUCUUGGGAACACAGUUUCUCCACACUGAAACUGAUAAAAUAAAUAGGAAAUGGCACAUUGUUUUGCACUUCGGUGUACCCUGGAGUUUUUUUUCACAUUGACACGUUGUAUCUUGUACCCUUUACUGUAUUUUUUAUUUGUCAUUUUUUAUGGCCCUACCUUUCUUGCACGCUUGUACAAAACAAAUGAUUAUAUGAUUUUGAUGAUUUAGGAUUGUAGGGCAUGAGCUCCAUUAAUUUAAGAUAGUUUGAAAGAAAAAUACUGACUGUUGAAGUUUAUAAUCUUAAAUAUAUAUUUUUGGCUUUUUUUGAGCCCCUCUGGUUGAACACUGGUCCCUCCUUGGCCCCCCUAUUAAAAUGUGUCUAGAACCGCCACUGGCCUUGUGUUUUGUCGGUCAACAGAUUUUAGGGGCUGUUGUAGUGGUCGUUAGUGCAUCGACGCUCGUGUGUACCGCUGGUGGUGGGGGUCGGUAGUUGCUAGGAUACAAAGCUUGUACCCGCCGUUACCAGGCUGUUGGUUGCUAGGGGGCCGGAGCUCUCUGCAGCUCGUGCAGCGUGUGUCAGUUCCGUCGGUGAGCUCGUGGUGCUGCGGUCCUCCUCUUAAUUCAACGGGAAGCCUCGUCCUGACAGCUCAUCAUACCCUCCGUCCAGACCCUUUAUCCCGUCAGAGCACCCGCACCAAUACACUCCCUACUGAUUGCGGCCAGCGAACAAUAUCUGACAGCCCAUUGGUGGGUAUCUGAUGAGGCUGGCAGCUCAGAAGAUUCCGGUCGGCGCUCCGGUUGCGUACUGUGGAGCUUCUGAGCCACUGCACAUCACUGGGUCUCCCUACGGGUGGUCCUGUGUUCAACCCCCCUAGACUCCAGAACCCGGGCCCCCGGCGCAUCCAAUGACGAGAGCCCCUACCCAAGCCAGCCCAUCUGCAAUCUCUAUCUACAGACCAUAGUUAAGCCACUGAAACUAGCAGUCCUGCGAGCCGUCGCCUCCUAGCUGCUGCUAGCAGCUAACUAAUGCUAGCAGCAUGCUGUGGGAUACUUCCGGAGUUCCAGGAAGAAGCUACAGCGUAUGUUUAGCGCUAGAUAUCCGGAGCUGACCACACCGGGGACCCCCUCACUGACCUUGCAAUCGCUGACAACCAAUCUCUUGACGGUGGAGUGCGCAGAUCCCCAGGUCAUUAAGAACAGCCCCUAGACGCAUCAUGCCCACCAACCAGUCUUCUCCCUGGGGCAGUGGGAGGCUGCGGACCCCCUCAAAGCCAGACUCCCCUACCACCAUGACCACUGCUGCUAAGCACCACGGCAAUUCACCAGCACCUGAAGAGGCACCACCCGGUAGCAGCUGCAGAUGACCGAGCACCAUUGAAUUCUAAGAAUGCAUUACUUUGCACUUUUAUUUUGGAAUUUAAAGGCAAUAAACAUGUAUUGAAAUGUUAAGGAAUUCAUAUUGUUUUCAUUCAGAUAUGUAAAUCAACAUGUAUAAAUUGCUAUUAGUCAAUUAAUCGGGAGAUAAUCGAGAAUCAAAUCGAAAUCUAAUCGGUUCGAAUCGUUAGAUGAAUCGAUGCAUCGAAAAUUAAGAAGUUAAUCGUUUAAAAAUUAAUCGUUUAUCCCAGCCCUAGACGCCACCCGGAAAGCUGUUGUCGCGGUAGCAUUGGCAGAGGACCAGGCGCUCCAAAAUAAGUAGACUAUAGGCCAUAGGCAGAGAUACGGACGCAGUAAGGUAUUGCAGUAAUACGAGUGAUUGAAAUUGCCAUUUAAACCACCAAAGUGGUCCAAGCACAAUGAAAACAGUUCAUACUUGAAGUCACAAUGGGCGCAGCCAUCUUGAAUUCUGUCUCGCAAUUUUGCUCGGUCACCACUGAGUUCAACCGAGAUGGCGAGUUCGACGUCCGAGGAAAACGGGCGUGUUUGUGUGUGUCGCUAGGCAACGUCCUCGGACCUCCGAGACGGAUGGAUAUUAAAACGCAGCAUAAGCUGAAAAGCUGCUCCCGACCAGGUUUGGUUGGGAGCGUAAGUCACCAUGGUGAUACAGAGACGCUUAAAGAGACUUUCGUGGUACAGCUAACCCAGGCUUUCAGCUCAACAUACCUCGCUAACCCUCUAAUCGAGCUUCGUAGUACAGGCCCCUGGAUUGGGCUUUGCGGGUUUGUUUACCGGUGUUGCUAUGGUUACCGGUCUUGCGUGUUCCAACGGUUUAUUAGGUAUCUAAUAAAUCGCUGUCUAAUCAAUACUUAAUUCACUGCCUCUUCCGUGGUCAUUACAAUAUUAUGAAUAGACUGCUCUGUAAAAAAAAAAAAAAUUAUACCAGAAUUUUCAGUCGCACCGGUGCGCCCAAAUAAAAUAUUUGGUCGCACUACCCCGAAUUCUAGGCGCAUGUGCGUCCAAAUUAGGCGCACUCUGGAGCCCUGGGUUCUUCAUGAGAGAUACAGAUUCUCAUCAGAGGGUGUUCGUUAUUUGAUCGUCCUUUUGGACCUUAUGUAGACAAUGCUUACUGUUGCGCAUUGUGUCUCCGUGACAGAGUGAUAGAGUGGAGGUAGCGCGUCAGUCUUGAAUUUCUGCGCGGGGGGUUCGACUCCCAAGUGACACGAAUUUAAGUGAAGCUUAAAAAGUCCCAGUUCUCAUGCAUAUGGAAUACUUAUUCACUAAAGCUUAUGGAAUUAUAUUUUUGUGCUUAUUUCGAACUUGAACCCAUAUUUUCAAGGCCUUGCUGGCACCACAUCUAUGGGGGUAAAAUGCAUGAUGAUAGACCGGCGAAUUUGAACCCCGGUCGCUGGCGUUCGGGUUUUAUACUAAUCCACUACGCUACAGCCGCUACCUCUCAGCGGUUGAAAACAUGCAAUACAUUUCUUACAUCGGGUGUAUUUAAAGUGAAUUCCCUAAAUGAUAGAAUAAGGCAGGAUGGACGUUGCUUAUGCAUUUUUAAAUCAUCAUCAUUCUAUUUGGAUUAAUGGCGAACAAUUCUGCAUUUGGCAUAGUUAUUUUAUAGACAAUAUGCAGAAUCUUUUCACUUAUAUGCAUAUAGACUGCUUGAUCUAUCGUAAAGGUGAGAAAAAUUACGCAAAAAAGCCCCUUUCAAGUGAACGCGCACUGAACCUAAAGCGGAAAACCUGGUUCAUCUAAUUGAAUCUAAAGUGAGCUUCGUGGUACCAUUUAACUCUGAUUGUGAUUUGCAGCUCUGUCGAGCCAGGUUUUCCCAAGAAAGCCUGGGUAUGUUCAGCGAGGUUUGUGGUAUACCCCCCAGCUCAGUUCUGAGGUCGCGUUUUCACUGCCGACGGUACCCAAAUGGUAGGCCGGAUGAUGAUCGCCGCGGCAGCUACGUAGACAUCGGAAAAGUUUUAUGUUAUUGUCGCGUUUUACAUGUCGCGUUUUACGCGACAUCUUCAUUGUAAAGAAUAAUACCUCGAGGCUACUGUUUGUUUGUUUCUUUGUUUUUAUCCCCACUUCGCCCGGAAGUGACGAUUCUGUCGACCAAUCAACGGAAGGGGUGUGUAGCUCGAAUUUUCCGGCACCCUUUCAGGAGUCUCAGUACCCCAACGGAUGAGUACUGAAGACGAGGGAAAAACGACUACGGCUCAGUCCGGGUCACGCCCACUUUUGGCAGUGGAAACGCAAUCCGUAACGCACCUUUGCGAACCGUACCUCACCCUGCAGUGGAAACGCGCCAUAAGGCUCCACAGGCCCCUGCCACUAUGUCCCAAUGCCAGGAAGAGACCCCCCAUUUAGUACUGCCUAGGGUCACAAAGCCCCAGGGAACUGAGAAAAUCAGGUGUAGUGGUCACCUGACUGGGCCCUGGGUAUUUUGUCCUAGUUAGAAUAAUAUUCUGUCUCUUUAUAUACUUAUCGUACUCAUUUAGCAACCUCAUAUCAGUCCCUCCAGGAAAAUGCAGCGUUUGUUUGUGAUUCAUGCGGCCAAAAAUCCUUGACUAUGCGGCACGUUUUCUUAAAAAAUGCGAUGAAAUAUGCGGCAUAUUUAUGCAAUUUUAUGCGAUGAAAUUGCGGGAACUCACUAGGCUACUACCUUAAUGUAAAGAGUCAUUUCUUAUUACUUUCUAUGAUAAACAAGCAUACUACAUCACAGAAAGUGCUGGGUAUAUUUACAAUUUACAAUUUGACCUGACGAGCUGGUUGUCGCCUUGCAUGGUUGACUCUGCCGCCGGUGUGUCAAUGGCCCUCAUUUAUCAAACGAGCGUACGACAGAAAACGUGCGUAAAAUGGACGUACGCUCAUUUCAACGUUGAGCUUGGCAUUUAUCAAUUUGAACGUGAGCGCAGGCUGCGUUUUUUUGGCGCAACAUACGGGUAUUUUAAUGAUGAAUAGUGCAGCACAAGUAGCCCAUGUUCAACAUCUGUAUUAAUUACUAAAUAAAUUGGAAUUAGCCCAGCCGUUCAAACAAUUACAAUCAAGUCAGGCCUAAUUAAAAACAGUAUUGCUAUGAAAAUAAUUAGAAUGUGACAGGUGAAAUGUUUAUUCAGCUGUCUAUAUUAACAGAAGCUUUGCCAAAGGUGGUCGUGUCUCAGCGAUGGCAGAUCUGGCUCUGUUAAGGACCUCAACGCACAGACGAGAGAGUUUUUCGAGACCGCGCCGAAUUUUUUAGGAGGGCGAUGAAUGGCUCUUGAGUCGUUUUCGUCUCCCAAGGCAUCUCCUGAUGGAGCUAUGCAAUGCUUUGGAGCCACAGUUAAGGCGAGAAACUAGGCGAUCAAACGCAAUACCUGUGCAGGUUUGCUCUACCUUGGGAUUUUUGGCCACCGGGAUCUUGCAGCGGGAGCUCGGGGACAGGUCUGCUAUUUCCCAGCCAAGUAUUAGCCGAACCAUGCCAGCAGUUUCGGCAGCUAUAAUGUCCCUCUCCGAACGUUAUAUUAAAUUCCCAUAUAAUAACGAUCAGCAAACUGGAAUCAAACGGGAUUUUUAUGCUAUUGCUAGGUUUCCAAAUGUGAUUGGUGCGGUUGAUUGUACCCAUGUGCGUAUGAACCAUCUAUUAAUGAUUACGCGUACAUCAACCGCAAAAGCUACCAUUCAGUUAAUGUUCCGAUUAUUUGCGAUGGCAGAAUGUCAAUCCUGAACAUGGUAGCCCGAUGGCCUGGGGGCACGCACGAUUCUUUUAUUUUCCAAAAUAGCAACGUUGGGCAUCGUCUACAUCAGGGCGCACUACAUGGUCAGAGUCAUCUCGGUGAGUUACGCUGCAGUCGCACUGCACCGGCCUCCUCCCGUUUCUUGCUUGGCCGGCUUCACAGCCGCAACACAUUUUUUGGUGCUGAGCUUCAUGUCGGACCAUUUUUUCUUCACCUUAUUCGGAAUUAAAUAACUAACGGAAUGCAAACAAUAGCAUAUAUGUGAAAUGUUUUAAGCUGGAUAACAGAAGUUGUACAUUUAAUUUAUUAUUUAAUUAAUUUAAUUAACAAACCUCUUCCGUAGCCCGACGAACAUUGGAAACACUAUUCACUGCAACAGUUAUUUCCUUCCAUAUAGCAUUCUUUUGCUGGCCUUUUAAUGCCAGCUAUAGGCUACCAAAUAAAACCAGACGGUUCGCAUCCACCAGUGAUCCGAGCGUCUCCAUUUGGGUCUCGGAAAAAUUCCUCUAUUUUACCGUUGGACGUUUCUCCAUGUCGUAAAAGUUAGGGGCGAGACUUCUGAAGACGUGCUUUUAUAUGGGUGUGUUACGUUAAUUACGAUCGAUCUCAGCCGCCGUAUUUAUCAACACCAAGAUUCUUCGUACGCUGGGAUUGGUGUGAUACGAAGGUUUCGGAAAUCUCACGUGGGUCCAAUCGUAAGAUGAAUCAUGCAUUCAGAUUUGCGCUCAUUUCUACGUUCGUUUGAUAAAUGAGGGCCAAUGUGUGUAUUAAACGAUGUAAGUCGCUUUGGAUAAAAGCAACUGCUAAAUGCCCUAAUUGUAAAUUGGAAUAUUUAAGUUCUCAUCUUGUUUUAUUUGAGACCUUAAAACAUGGCUCAAACUUACAAAACAUUGAGUACAACUUCUGUAGCUUUACAAAAAGAAUCUGCUACAACUUCUGUAAAAAUGAAUAAAUAAAAUAUAAAAAAAUAAAUGUUCCUGUUUUACAGAGGAAGCUUUUCAAAAGAGUAAUAAAAAAGUGCAAUCUUACAACUGCAAAGUUGCAUCAAUUCAUUGAAUGAAACUACAACAGUCCACUGUGAAAAUGAAAACUAACUGCGUAGCCUCUAACACUAGCCAAUCAUUCCUCAUCCUCCAUCCCCUCUCCCUCAACGUCCAUCUUUUUAACCAUCCUUGCAUAUUUGACUGCGGCAAAGUGGUUUUCCAGAGUUGACUUCCGCCUGUGGUCCAACAUGCUUUGCAAACUGCUUUGCACAGUCUUUUGCACUUAUCUUUGUUGGCAAAUGAGACCGCUUCAUCUUGCCUUCGUCGCGGGGUUUGCGAUGAUGUUCACGUUGCGUAAUUACGUCACUCCAUAACGUUCCCAUGGCAACAGGGGGAAAUCGCUGCUUUUUUCGUGGAAAUUGGCCAUUUAUGCGGUGAAAGUGCGGCAUAUUUGAAAAAAUGCCGCCCCCUGCAUGAAUAUGCAGCCUUAGGCUGAUUAUGCGUUGAAUUAUGCGAUCGCAUAAUCGUGUUUUUCUGGAGGGACUGUCAUAUAUAUCCUAACCCCAUGCUGAGGCUAGAAGUUUAUGUAGUCUACUUUGUGCCACUCAAUGUACCAUUAUACACCAUGCUAAAUACCUACAUUAAUUUAUAGACUACCAUAGUAUACCUACACAAUAAGUUUUUGGUCUGUCCUCGCCUUGAUUUCUCUCCUUGUUGGUCUCCUUGUUGGUCUGUCCUCUCCUUGUGUCCUCUCCUUGUUGGUCUGUCCUCUCCUUUGGUCCUCUCCUUGUUGGUCUGUCCUCUCCUUGUGUCCUCUCUUUCAAGGAUUCAAGGAGUUUAAUUGUCAUUGUAAUACACAAUGAAAUACAGUUUGGUGUUUAAAUGUCUAAAUGACACAAAACAUAAAAAGACAAAAUAAGACGAUGACAAAUACAUAGGCGUCGGGGACGCGUCCCCACCAGAUUUCGUCAAGAUUAAUUUUGUACCCACCACCUGUAAAAAAUAAUAACCUACCGGGUAGUUGAAUUAUUAUGGAUUAUUACACGGGUCUUCUCAAUGCCGUGGAAUUCUCAGUUUACUUGUAUGGGCUCUUCACAACUUCCGGCGGUGUGUUAUAUUUGAUAAUUCACCGUUGCUAAGUAUAAUUGACUGCUGUCAAGGAAAACAAAGAACUUUUUGCCUCUAAUGGCGUCUUUGGUAUCACUCCUCAAGUAGUCUGGUAAAUUUUCAACCCCAGCGUCUUCAGUUGCUAGGCGACGUCAACGUCUUUGGCAGACUAUUUCUCUUCUGAUCAACACUAUGAAUGCUGGUAACAAAUAAAUUGUAAAAAGACACACCAUGUGAAGUUAUUUCUUUUUUUUUUUCAAGUGGUCGGCUGUUUUAACUUGUAAUUGAUAGUCGGUGGAGUCAGUCUCUUGUUGACACAAAGUGACUUUUGGUCAUUCUUGCUUCACUUGAAUUCUGGAAUAAUUGUUGGGGGGGGGGGGGAGUCCAUGAGUUUGGGUUCGAAUGCCUGAUGCAGGCUAGAUUGGAUGAAAUGCGUGUUGGGAAUUGAGAACAGCCAGCCCAUGAUGUGAUACAGCGUUCUGUGCAACAAAUAUUUUUUUCUUUUUCAAUCUUGACGAGUGUGUAGCCACACGUUCGGCCCUUCUGAACUUAAACGCGCAGUUAAUUUCCAUUCCUAGCUCUUCUUGUUUAUGUUGUUAGCUUAGCCAUGUCAUGUCACGUUGUCAACAUUGGAUACAUGGAGCAGAACUGGGUCAUAUGUCCGAUGCUUUUUUGGAAACGUUUUCUUCAUAAAACGUGCCAGACAGAUUUUGUAUACAUUUUAUUCCUUAGUAAUUAGCUACAUGGGUAUGCCGUCUUUCAGAACCUUUCAUUACCGGCACUAAAGAGAGAAAAAAUUGUAGCCAGCACUUCUGAAAAUGCACUUCCGAAUGCGUCUCUGUCCCCAAAUAAGAAAAUGAUACAAAGACAAAGUCAAAA